rnacentral:rRNA from 1 species
CAAUAGCGUAUAUUAACGUUGUUGCAGUUAAAAAGCUCGUAGUUGGAUUUCUGGAGGGAGCGUCGGCCCGUAUUUACGAGUGCGUGACGUCUCUGUCCAUCCUUGCGGGAAGGCACGGCAUUGAUUUGUUGUGUCGGAUCGCAUCAUUUACUGUGAAAAAAUUAGAGUGUUCAAAGCAGGCUUUCGCUUGAAUACAUUAGCAUGGAAUAAUAGAUAGGACUUUGGUGCUAUUUUGUUGGUUGAGCCUAAAGUAAUGAUUAAUAGGGAUAGUUGGGGGCACCUGUAUUGCGUUGUCAGAGGUGAAAUUCUUGGAUUUACGCAAGACAAACAGCUGCGAAAGCGUCUGCCAAGGAUGUUUUCAUUAA